AGGGAUGUAGCGCAGCUUGGUAGCGCCUUUGUUUUGGGUACGGGUACAAAAUGUCACGGGUUCCAAUCCUGUCAUACCUA
rnacentral:tRNA from 1 species